GAUGAACGCUGGCGGCGUGCCUAACACAUGCAAGUCGAGCGAACCCUUCGGGGUGAGCGGCGGACGGGUGAGUAACGCGUGGGUAACCUGCCCUGUACACACGGAUAACAUAUCGAAAGGUAUGCUAAUACGGGAUAAUAUAUGAGAGUCGCAUGGCUUUUGUAUCAAAGCUCCGGCGGUACAGGAUGGACCCGCGUCUGAUUAGCUAGUUGGUAAGGUAACGGCUUACCAAGGCAACGAUCAGUAGCCGACCUGAGAGGGUGAUCGGCCACAUUGGAACUGAGACACGGUCCAAACUCCUACGGGAGGCAGCAGUGGGGAAUAUUGCACAAUGGGCGAAAGCCUGAUGCAGCAACGCCGCGUGAGCGAUGAAGGCCUUCGGGUCGUAAAGCUCUGUCCUCAAGGAAGAUAAUGACGGUACUUGAGGAGGAAGCCCCGGCUAACUACGUGCCAGCAGCCGCGGUAAUACGUAGGGGGCUAGCGUUAUCCGGAAUUACUGGGCGUAAAGGGUGCGUAGGCGGUCUUUCAAGCCAGAAGUGAAAGGCUACGGCUCAACCGUAGUAAGCUUUUGGAACUGUAGGACUUGAGUUCAGGAGAGGAGAGUGGAAUUCCUAGUGUAGCGGUGAAAUGCGUAGAUAUUAGGAGGAACACCAGUAGCGAAGGCGGCUCUCUGGACUGUAACUGAUGCUGAGGCACGAAAGCGUGGGGAGCAAACAGGAUUAGAUACCCUGGUAGUCCACGCCGUAAACGAUGAGUACUAGGUGUCGGGGGUUACCCCCCUCGGUGCCGCAGCUAACGCAUUAAGUACUCCGCCUGGGAAGUACGCUCGCAAGAGUGAAACUCAAAAGGAAUUGACGGGGACCCGCACAAGUAGCGGAGCAUGUGGUUUAAUUCGAAGCAACGCGAAGAACCUUACCUAAGCUUGACAUCCCAUUGACCUCUCCCUAAUCGGAGAUUUCCCUUCGGGGACAGUGGUGACAGGUGGUGCAUGGUUGUCGUCAGCUCGUGUCGUGAGAUGUUGGGUUGAGUCCCGCAACGAGCGCAACCCUUGCCUUUAGUUGCCAGCAUUAAGUUGGGCACUCUAGAGGGACUGCCGAGGAUAACUCGGAGGAAGGUGGGGAUGACGUCAAAUCAUCAUGCCCCUUAUGCUUAGGGCUACACACGUGCUACAAUGGGUGGUACAGAGGGUUGCCAAGCCGUGAGGUGGAGCUAAUCCCUUAAAGCCAUUCUCAGUUCGGAUUGUAGGCUGAAACUCGCCUACAUGAAGCUGGAGUUACUAGUAAUCGCAGAUCAGAAUGCUGCGGUGAAUGCGUUCCCGGGUCU
rnacentral:rRNA from 1 species